GGCGCAGGCGGUUUUUCAAGUUAGGUGUAAAAUCUCCCCGCUUAACGGGGAGGGAUCAUCUGAUACUGUUGAACUAGAGGGCAGCAGAAGGAGACGGAAUUCCCGGUGUAGUGGUGAAAUACGUAGAUAUCGGGAGGAACACCAGUGGCGAAGGCGGUCUCCUAGGCUGUUUCUAACGCUGAGGCCCGAAAGCGUGGGGAGCGAACAGGAUUAGAUACCUGGUAGUCC
rnacentral:rRNA from 1 species